rnacentral:misc_RNA from 1 species
GAUGAAGAACGUAGCGAAAUGCGAUAAGUAGUGUGAAUUGCAGAAUUCAGUGAAUCAUCGAAUCUUUGAACGCACAUUGCGCCCCUUGGUAUCCCGAGGGGCAUGCCUGUUCGAGCGUCAUUUCACCACUCAAGCCUGGCUUGGUGUUGGGCGUCGUCCCCUUUGGGGACGCGCCUCGAAACGCUCGGCGGCGUGGCACCGGCUUUAAGCGUAGCAGAAUCUUUCGCUUUGGAAGUCGGGGCCCCGUCUGCCGGAAGACCUACUCGCAAGGUUGACCUCGGAUCAGGCAGGGAUACCCGCUGAACUUAAGCAUAUCAAUAAGCGGAGGA